rnacentral:misc_RNA from 1 species
UCCUUUGUUUUUUCUAGUUGUCAAGACAAACACUGAUUAUCAAGUUGUCGCGAUUUUUGUAUGCGAGAUGAAACAACAGAAGCUAUCACAGAGGCACUGAUGUGCAUUAAAAAAUGGAAUCCUUUAUUUCAACCUAAAUUUGUUUUAACUGAUUAUUCCAAUGAAGAGAUAAACUCAUUAGAGUAUGUGUUUCCAGGAUCAAAUGUCUUAAUUUGUGACUUUCACAGAGAACAGGCUUGGGAAAGAUGGUUGUCAAAAAUCACUAACGGAUGUUCCUCAGUAAAAGAAGUAGUUAAGUUAAAACUUCGUCAAAUUGCUAAUUCAAAAACAGAAGAGAUUUGCAUAAAUGCUGUAAAUGCUUUCAAAGAGUCAGAAGAGUGGAAAAAUCACCCAAAACUUCGAGAGUACUUAAAAAACACUUGGUUAUGCAACCAAAAGAGAUGGGUGUUUGCUUUUCGGCAACAUCGCCUUUUGCGAAAUGUCAACACAAACAAUGGUACUGAAAGACAGAACCAAUCUCUAAAAUACAGCUUUUUGGAAAAAAGGAAAAACUCUUCUCUUACAGCUAUGCUAAGUGUUUGCAUUGAUGAAUUCCUUCCUCAUAACUAUAACAAUUAUGCUGAUAAAAACAGAAGAGCGCACUCAUCUUAUAGAAAGUAUAAUAGUAAGAUUCCAGUAUAUUUAAUAAACCACCCUCAACCUUUAGUAAAGCAUUGCAUGAACAUGAUAGAUAAGCUACAAGGUUUAGACUUGGAGGGAAUUAAUGCUGUUACAGAUAGAUUGUACAAUGUUGCAUCAUUUCAGUCAAAUAGUAGAGAAAUUUACCAAUUUUUUCUUGGUGAUGCAAAACACUUGCCAAGCUGUUCCUGCCCUUCUUGGUUUAGUAGCAUAUAUCCAUGCAAACAUAUUUUUGCAGUUUUCAGUAAAGAAAAUCUUUCUUGGUCUGAUUUUGAUCCAUCUUAUGGCAAUUCUCCAUAUUUCAUCUUAGAUCCAUUGUUGAAUAAAAAUAAUUACUCAACUUCAUUUCAUUGUCAAGAUUUACCUGAAACUGUUAAUUUAUCUUUUAAAAAAAAUCCUCUUGAUAAUGCCAAAGUAGUGAGUGACAACAGUGAGUUUGUACCAUCAGAACAUUGUCAGACAUUACCAAAUAUUAAUCAUAUACAGGCUAGUCAUCAUACACCUGCUGCAUGUUGUGAACUCUUAAACGAAAUCAUAAAACUUACUCAUUUAAGUAAAUCUCAAACAGCAACAGAUAACUUGUUUGAGGGACUUUAUAAACUUAAAUUAGUUAGUUUAAUGUUUGAACAAAGUGCAAUGAGGAAUCAUCUUCUAAAGUGUUUGCUAAACAACCGAUUAGAUGUCUUCCCAACUGCCAUUAAUCCUUCAAUAUCUAAAAGAUGCCUAGCAAAGACUUUUCAUCUUCUUUUACAUUGCUCAUGUAGAAUGUUUUGGACCCUAGAAGAUGAGCACAUUUUUAACAGGCAAAUGGCUGAAUGCAGUACUUGUUGCAAAUGGUUUCAUCGGGAGUGUGAAAAAAUCCCACCAACUGCAUAUGUAAUCUGGAACUGUCAUGAGUGCCACAGGCAAGCAUCGCAAAGAUAAAGAUUUGUUUAUCAACGCCACCUGCUAACAUCUACAGCUCAAAAUCAAUUUUUGGAGAAAAUAUUUGAAGAAUAUAAUGAAAAAAGAUGCACAAGCCACCUCAGUCAGCUUUGGUGGGGUGUUAACUCACCUAUAAAAUGUUUUUCUAAUGAAUAUUUACAGUCUCCUAAGUAAUGUGAUGGAGUACAGAAGUAACUAACUCUAGCAAUCCAGUUCUUGUUGCUGAAAAAGGAACCUAAUUUUUUUUUUAUUUAUAUUUUUUUUUUAUUUAUAUUUUUUUUCAACUGAAAUUUUAGGUUGAUUUUUUGUGCAACUAAAAUAAUAUUCAUGGGGCAAAAUAAACAACUUGCACAUUUUCAUUUUUGAAAUAGAAAAUUACUUUUUAAAACUAUGAACUACUUUAAUUAAAACUAUUACUUAACUAUUUAAAGUGCAUUUUUGAACAUAAGAAGUGCGGAUAUAUACAACAUAUACAACAUUCUGAUUUAGGUGCUCUCCAUGGUACACUAUAAAUAAAAUAAGAAUACAUUAAAGCAUAUUCAAUAAUAUGUAUAUAAAUAAAUAGAUAGAGAUUGUUUUUUUUUUCAACCUCUUUAACCACUAUAGCAGUUGAAAAUUACUGGAAGAGAAAAGAUGAAGUUUGUAGAUCAAGAUAACGAUUGACAGAUGACUUAAAAGAGUAAAUUAUAUGAAUCAGGAUAAGAAGAAAAUGAAGGAAGUGAAUUCCAAAGUGCUGAUGUUCAAGGAAAAAAAAUAGAGGAAUACGAGUUUUAGGAGCACUUAAGAUAAUUCACAGAAAAAGAAUGAGACUUAAGAGAUAAGAAUGAGACAAUUGAAACACAAGAAUGAUAGUAAAUGGCACAAGGUACGCUAGCUCUUUAGAGCAGUGCCCUUUAUAGUAUUUGUAGAAAAGAGAAAGAGAGGCAACAUGAUGAUGUGACAAUGGUUGGAGGUUGGCUGCAAGAGCAUCCAAUUAUUAUGUUUAUAUUAU